CGCGCCCCGCGCCGCUCUCCCGGCUACGGCGAGCGGCGAGCGGCACAAAGAGCCGGCGCAGGCGGGGGGCGAAGCUCCCCCUGCCCUUCCCCGCACAGCCGGGCCAGCAAAGGUUCAACGAUCUUUCAGAAUCUGAAGUGGAGGAAUCUGAGGACCACACACCUAUAGUUGAAUCCCCACCAUCACUGGAUACCUUACCUGGUGUGGAAGCACCAGCAUCUGCAGCCCAGCCAUCUAUAGUGGAAUUGCCACUGCAGACCAGCUGGCUGUCAAGGAGCCACCACGUUCUGAUCACUUCCUGCUCAUUGUAUAGUCUGCAUCCAGGGAAAGCUCACCUGAGAUCAGAUCACCUGUGGGUGAACUUCGAGGUUUCAAAGUCAAGAUGCACACCUCCGAAUCCAAACAGGAUGGCAGUAACACCGUUGAGAAUGUGUUGUCAGCAACAGAGAUUACAUUUGAAUCAUUGGAGAAUCCAGAGAUUUUUGGAGACCCCUAUCAAGUCGCCAUGAAUUAUGCAGAGGAACAUAAAAUUCUACAGAUAUUUCAGGAUAUCACAGAAAAACUGCUGUUCCAUAAGCCUGAUGACCCCUUACAGUUCAUAUUGCUGGAGGUGCAGUCUAUGAUAAAUGCCAGGCAAGCAGAAGCGGAGAAACUAUCAGACUAGAACAAAGAUGUGAAGGUGUUUCUAGAAGAGGGCUUGUGCACUCCUUUUGGCCCUCAUUGACCUUGCUGUUGUGGUAUUGCCACACCAUGCCUUCACAGCACGAUGUAGUCAUUAGCAAGAACUUGGAAAAUAUCUGCUUUGCUGUCUCUUGCCUGGUUUUUCUGUUUUGUAUGCUUGUGCUUCCUCUUCCCCUUGGGUUCAAAUCCUGCAGCCAAGUUUUGGUUUGGAAUCACAGACUGAAAUCUAAGUGUGCAUGGAUCUUCAUGCACAUAUGGCACAUCUUGAAGAGGCAGGUCUGCUGAACUUCUAGGCAUAUAAAUACAUAAAUCUCAUAUCUCCACACUGCCUCUCUGUGCAAAGAAACCUCACAGCUCAGACAGUGCAAGGACAAAAGCAAGUUAAGAGUUAAAAAGCAGCCCUGGACA
ensembl:lncRNA